AGCCUGGACAUCCCAGCCUUGCCAAGGAAGGAGGCCUCAGGCUGGGGAAUUAGGGAGGAGCCUGGAGGAGGGGGUCAGGGCGGAGCUCAGAGCUUCCCCCCGCAGAGCUGGACAGGCGGCAGGACUGAAGGGACCACCCAGAUGUGGAGUCCAACCUGCAAUUUCCUGGGUGAAGGAAAAGGGAGCCCCGGAGGGGGGUGAUGUGGCCCAGGUGUGACGUCGUGUUGCAGGCGUUGGGGUGGGGGUUAAUCGCAAGCUGCCAUCUCUCAGCCCUUCUCAUCUGUCCUGUGCUUCAUGGCGCCGGCCUCCAGAAGUCCAGACUCUGACCCCAGAGGUAGGGCGAGAGGGGACCCUGCCUUCCAAGUGUCACCAACUAUCCCCGUACCUUCCCGCUCCCAAACGCAAGCUAGGGGUCUCCAGCAAACAGCAGGGAACACCGCCCCUCUGUGAGGAAUCCCCGCCAUGGGUGCUCUGUGCUGGCAACAGAGGGCUUAGCCCGCAGGCAGCCCAGCUUGGUGCUGACCCCCAUCUCUCUGGGUGACCCCGGGGGUCUCCCAUGCCAUCGCUACCUGGCAAUCAAGGAGGAAGUACUCUGUCCAUUGGGGGUACCUUAGGAUAAAGAAAGCACUUCCCCAGGGGAGAUGAAAAGGGGAGAAGGGAGAAAGGAAACUCGAAACCAGCCCCUGGGGGGACCCCUGCCCAGCACGGGACCCUCUCGGGCCAGUCCAGCUGUCUCCUCUCCCUUGGCCUUCAAGACACGGGCCACACACUUUGACCUUUAUUCAAAUGAUCCUUACACAGCUUUUUUGGCGAUCACCCUGGGGCUCCCAGAGCUCGGCGGCACGGUUAUCCCGAGCUCCCUAGGGUCCCCCUCGAAGCCCGCGGGGGGCCUUCCACCAAGGGCAGGAGGCUGUGUCCCUUUCAUCCCCCACCUCCGCCACCGAGGGUCAUAGGAAGGAGUGCUGAGCUCCGGCAGGUGGGAACGGGAGGGGUGGUGUUCAGAGGAACGGUGAGACCCCUCAGCGAAGAUGAUGGGUCUGCCCGCAGCCCACGCCCUGCCUACGGGGGCCUGCCUUUCCCUACCGCCUUUUCCCCUAGAACAGUCUCCCCUUGCCCCUACUCGGAUCCAC
rnacentral:lncRNA from 1 species